UUUAAUUUAUUUAAAAUAAUAAAAUAAUUAUUCCUUUUGUUUCUUUUUAGGUUCUGCUGGAGAUUGAAGGCCAUUUAUGGAGAUUUUGAAUAAGGGACAAUGUUGGCUGCCUUGGACCAGAAGAAUUUCAAUGGCCGAUUCUGAAGAUGGUGAAUCUGAGCAGAUUUAACCGGUACUGUUCCAGAUAAGCUGGUGGACUAUCGAUUAAGGUGGUUCCGGAAAUGGAAGGUAAGUGUAAUGAA